UGAGGCUGCGCAUACAAUCCUCUUGGGACUC
rnacentral:piRNA from 1 species